UUUCUUUCUUCUUCUCUCUAUACGUUGGUGUUCUAACCAAUAAUCACCGAUGCGAUGUUCUAUCCGAUCGAUUCAUGAACCAACUAACGGAUGCCAAAGUAUUGUAUUUUGUGAGUUCGUUAAAACGGAUGCCAAAAUGCUGUCUAAACAAGACUAUACUUUGUGAAUUUCGUUAAGGUUCGAAUCUCGUGACUACCGUUAAGGUUUGAUAUGGGUUAUACACAAAUACGUAUUCCAUUCUGUUAAACUAUAUGUUUAACUAUCAGAAUACUCCCAAAUUUAUAAUCAAACAAGCUGUUAAAUCAUCAGAAGAUUCAAAACAAUAAAGUAUACACUUAAUUAUCAGAAGGAGUAGAAUCAAGAAGCUUGUUAAAUCAAUCUUGCAUGCUUAUAAUAAUUAUAAUUACAGUGAUUAAGUUUAUGUAAUCACCAAAUUACAGCCAGUAUGUGGGGUAUUGUGCACAUUACUAUUGUUUUUAUCACUUUAGGUGGGCGAACCUAAAAUUAAGUGAUAUACGUCAUUCAUUGGGGCAGCCAAUGGUGAUAUGACCAUAGUCACAGAUCCGGUCGAGUGACAAAUACUGUGGGUAGUUGGUAGAUAUCAGAAACAUAUGUAAAAACUCUUAAUACUGUAAAUUAUAACAAAUCUGUU
rnacentral:lncRNA from 1 species